UUUAUGGAGAGUUUGAUCCUGGCUCAGGACGAACGCUGGCGGCGUGCUUAACACAUGCAAGUCGAACGGUGAUGUCAGAGCUUGCUCUGGCGGAUCAGUGGCGAACGGGUGAGUAACACGUGAGUAACCUGCCCCCGACUCUGGGAUAACUGCUAGAAAUGGUAGCUAAUACCGGAUAUGACGAUUGGCCGCAUGGUCUGGUCGUGGAAAGAAUUUCGGUUGGGGAUGGACUCGCGGCCUAUCAGGUUGUUGGUGAGGUAAUGGCUCACCAAGCCUACGACGGGUAGCCGGCCUGAGAGGGUGACCGGCCACACUGGGACUGAGACACGGCCCAGACUCCUACGGGAGGCAGCAGUGGGGAAUAUUGCACAAUGGGCGAAAGCCUGAUGCAGCAACGCCGCGUGAGGGAUGGCGGCCUUCGGGUUGUAAACCUCUUUUAGUAGGGAAGAAGCGAAAGUGACGGUACCUGCAGAAAAAGCACCGGCUAACUACGUGCCAGCAGCCGCGGUAAUACGUAGGGUGCAAGCGUUGUCCGGAAUUAUUGGGCGUAAAGAGCUCGUAGGCGGUUUGUCGCGUCUGCUGUGAAAUCCCGAGGCUCAACCUCGGGUCUGCAGUGGGUACGGGCAGACUAGAGUGCGGUAGGGGAGAUUGGAAUUCCUGGUGUAGCGGUGGAAUGCGCAGAUAUCAGGAGGAACACCGAUGGCGAAGGCAGAUCUCUGGGCCGUAACUGACGCUGAGGAGCGAAAGCAUGGGGAGCGAACAGGAUUAGAUACCCUGGUAGUCCAUGCCGUAAACGUUGGGAACUAGAUGUGGGGACCAUUCCACGGUCUCCGUGUCGCAGCUAACGCAUUAAGUUCCCCGCCUGGGGAGUACGGCCGCAAGGCUAAAACUCAAAGGAAUUGACGGGGGCCCGCACAAGCGGCGGAGCAUGCGGAUUAAUUCGAUGCAACGCGAAGAACCUUACCAAGGCUUGACAUAUACCGGAAACAUGCAGAAAUGUGUGCCCCGCAAGGUCGGUAUACAGGUGGUGCAUGGUUGUCGUCAGCUCGUGUCGUGAGAUGUUGGGUUAAGUCCCGCAACGAGCGCAACCCUCGUUCUAUGUUGCCAGCACGUAAUGGUGGGAACUCAUAGGAGACUGCCGGGGUCAACUCGGAGGAAGGUGGGGAUGACGUCAAAUCAUCAUGCCCCUUAUGUCUUGGGCUUCACGCAUGCUACAAUGGCCGGUACAAAGGGCUGCGAUACCGUAAGGUGGAGCGAAUCCCAAAAAGCCGGUCUCAGUUCGGAUUGAGGUCUGCAACUCGACCUCAUGAAGUCGGAGUCGCUAGUAAUCGCAGAUCAGCAACGCUGCGGUGAAUACGUUCCCGGGCCUUGUACACACCGCCCGUCAAGUCAUGAAAGUCGGUAACACCCGAAGCCAGUGGCCUAACCGCAAGGGAGGAGCUGUCGAAGGUGGGAUCGGUGAUUAGGACUAAGUCGUAACAAGGUAGCCGUACCGGAAGGUGCGGCUGGAUCACCUCCUUU
rnacentral:rRNA from 1 species